CUACGGGCUGCUCCAGUGGGGAAUCUUGCGCAAUGGGCGAAAGCCUGACGCAGCAACGCCGCGUGCGGGAUGAAGGCCUUCGGGCUGUAAACCGCUUUCAGCAGGAACGAAAAUGACGGUACCUGCAGAAGAAGGAGCGGCCAACUACGUGCCAGCAGCCGCGGUGACACGUAGGCUCCAAGCGUUGUCCGGAUUUAUUGGGCGUAAAGAGCUCGUAGGCGGUUGAGUAAGUCGGGUGUGAAAACUCUGGGCUUAACCCGGAGACGCCAUCCGAUACUGCUCUGACUUGAGUUCAGGAGGGGAGUGGGGAAUUCCUAGUGUAGCGGUGAAAUGCGCAGAUAUUAGGAGGAACACCGGUGGCGAAGGCGCCACUCUGGACUGAAACUGACGCUGAGGAGCGAAAGCAUGGGUAGCAAACAGGAUUAGAUACCCCGGUAGUC
rnacentral:rRNA from 1 species